CACAAAUGAGAAUGCGUUUAUCUCUGAACAGACUGUGAAUGUUUAUUGGUUUUUACCGCAAACAUUCAUGCACAUGUUCCACUGAAUUCUCAGCUCCGUAUGGAAUGCCUGACAUCUUUGAUACCUCUGGACUGGACGCCCCAAGGACAACAGAGGAUGAUGGGAAACUGUCGUGGCACGUGAGCAUUAGUUUGGAAGCAGGUUAUGAAUGCAGUGGGGCGAUCCUCCAGUUGCAAUGGAUCCUUACUGAUGCACACUGUGUCUAUAACCUGGAAGAACGAUAUUUGAGACUUUUAUCAGUGACAGCAGGAGGCUCAAAGAAACAGAUCCGUGACGUGAUUAGUGUAUUUGUACACCCUCAUUACAGCCAAUUCUCUCUCCGACUACAAUGUGGCUUUGCUUAA
rnacentral:lncRNA from 1 species